rnacentral:tRNA from 1 species
GGAUAGUGUAGCUCAAAUGGUAGAGCGCUACAUAAAAAAGAUGUCUUGUAAAAGACGUUAACAGCAAUCAACCUUUAGACGUAGAUGUUGCAAGUUCGAUUCUUGCCACUAUCCA